AAAAAUUAUUAAGAUUACAUAAAGAUAAGAAAUCUAGAGAGUUACUCACUUUAGUGACACGUGUCACUUAAAAUCCUAUCCGAAGAAUUCUUGAGAUUACAUAAAGAUAAGAAAUCUGGAGAGUUACUCACGUUAGCGACACGUGUCACUUGAAAUCCUAAAUAUUAUUGAGAUUAUAAAAAGAUAAGAAAUCCGGAGCCUUAUUCAUUUGGCAACAAAUGACACUCAAAAUAUGUAUGAAAACCUUAUUUUAAUAUGGUAGUUUAAUUUAAAUAACCAUAUUAAUUCAAUUAAAAUAAUAAAUUAUGUUUGGCAUAUGGCCCUUUGGCCCCCUCAGUUGGAGAUUGUACAAAAUAUGAUCUGACACUGUUCAUUAAAAUAUAAUUUCUUAUAGGACUAUAAGACUAAACGAAGUCAUUUGACUCUCUUUCGAUUGGAGAUGGCCUAAUGUAUCUUCAGCUAGACAUUCACGUGAUCCAGUGGUUCGGUCCUAAGAAUUUGUACGGUUGAGACAAUAGUUUGAUGUAGCACUUCGUUUGCAGCCAAUACAAAAGAAACUCCCCCUUUUCAAUGGAGUUAUGCGUAGCAGCAUAGGUCGAAGAUGUGAAUUAACUUCUUUAAGAACCUCGACGCAGCGGUGGAGUACUUUUCUUAAUGGAAACGCUACUAAAAGUUGCAAAUGAUAUACGUCUCUCUCUUAAUCCGUGUGAAGAAAGCCUCCUAAAUCAUCUUUUGGUAUAAAGAAUUGGACUGAAUGCAAUGGAUAAAUCGCUAUUUACAAAGCACGUUGAAAGAAGAAAUGAAAAGGUUGUGGCCAACUUGAAGGUGGGAGAGAGAUUACUCAGAAGAAAAAAAUAAUAAUAAUUAGCCAUUAUAAUCCUCCCCAAAACAAGAGAAUAAAAAGAGAGAAAUUAUCUUCAUGUCUAAUCUUCUUCUAAUUUAUUCAAAUUAAAAGUCAUUCUUCUCUUAUCCAGUUCAAUCAUAUAUACCAAACGAUACCUAAAUACUGAAACAUUUGCAUGCCAGACCCACCUAAAUCUAAAUUACAAAACAUUCGAUAUCCCAAACACUCACUUUAAUUUCCAAGCGGCAAGCAGAGGAUACCAUACAACUGUACAAGUAGGGAAAAAACAUGCUCAAACAACAGUACUCUUAUCCGUUGCCCUACAAAGAGAGACACUCUCUUCCAAUCCAAAAACCUCCGUAUUACCUUUAUAAGGAGUCUUGUACACAUAUCCCAUCCAAGCAAAAUGAUUUUCCAUCUUUUUGGACCCAUCACUCCACUUAGUCUUUUGAUCUAUCUUUUGUUAGCCACGUAUCAUUAACUAAGGUAAAAAUAACACAAAAGGAUUGAAACAAAUCUCCCACUGUGUCUGCGUCACCAAACACUGCAGAAGCCACAUGUUAUUAAAUUAGGGUGUGAUGUUUCACUACUUGCUAGCGAUAGCUUUCCAUGCAUCUGCAUGUACUCUUUCGUCUACUUUUUGCAAUGUCUUGGUCAAAUUAGGGUUUUGGAUUAGAUAAUGACAUUAUCUUUACCAAACAAGAAACCUUGCUCGUGAGGUUGUACUCGGAACAAAUAUUUGUAAUGUGACUGCAAAUUUUGUUUAAAUGGUGGAUACGUAGUGUCAAGUACUAAGAAAAACCAUUGAUAGAGCAUUAUCCGAAAUAAGCAACGUGGAGGAAAAGGGUUUGAGCAUUAGAUUUCACUAGUAAGGUUUUAGCAUAGGAGUAAGAUUCUCUUCCUUCCAAAUUCUCCUCCUCGCCAGUUCCCUUCUAUUUGAACAGUCACAAUUAAGUUACGUCAACAUUUUGUAUUGACUUCUUUAUAGGAAGAGAAAGAUAAAAAUAAAAGUGAGAGAGGAGGGAAGAAGAGGGGAUUUAGGGCAUAGCAUAAUAAGGAGCUAGUGAUUACAAGAUAAAUUACGAAGAUAAUGAUAAAUGAUAAAGUGCUAGGUUCAAUCAAUAUAGGUAGCUAGUGAAUUCACAUGGAAAAGAGUAAGGAUAAACUCUUAACGGUAUAGUUGGCCCUCACUGCUGCAUGAUUUAUCGACUCAUAUUUUAUAUUAAUUAGACGUUCAUGAAAUAUCAAUUACAAAUUAUUGUAGUAAGUGUGACCGCUACACACUCAAAAAGGAUUAAUGUCGACAUUCUACAAUACCAAAUCACAAAUUAUUUUGAGCCGUUAAUAAUUUAAACAUGCAUAGUGCUAUCCACACAUUCAUUUUCAUUUUUCACACAGUCUUCUUAAUUUUCGUUCGUCGAAUCGGAUUAAUUAAAGAAGAUCAAUGAUAAAAA
rnacentral:lncRNA from 1 species